rnacentral:rRNA from 1 species
GAUGAACGCUGGCGGCGUGCCUAAUACAUGCAAGUCGAGCGAAUGGAUUAAGAGCUUGCUCUUAUGAAGUUAGCGGCGGACGGGUGAGUAACACGUGGGUGACCUGCCCAUAAGACUGGGAUAACUCCGGGAAACCGGGGCUAAUACCGGAUAACAUUUUGAACCGCAUGGUUCGAAAUUGAAAGGCGGCUUCGGCUGUCACUUAUGGAUGGACCCGCGUCGCAUUAGCUAGUUGGUGAGGUAACGGCUCACCAAGGCAACGAUGCGUAGCCGACCUGAGAGGGUGAUCGGCCACACUGGGACUGAGACACGGCCCAGACUCCUACGGGAGGUAGCAGUAGGGAAUCUUCCGCAAUGGACGAAAGUCUGACGGAGCAACGCCGCGUGAGUGAUGAAGGCUUUCGGGUCGUAAAACUCUGUUGUUAGGGAAGAACAAGUGCUAGUUGAAUAAGCUGGCACCUUGACGGUACCUAACCAGAAAGCCACGGCUAACUACGUGCCAGCCGCCGCGGUAA